rnacentral:rRNA from 1 species
UACGUAGGGUGCAAGCGUUAAUCGGAAUCACUGGGCAUAAAGGGUGCGUAGGCGGUGGUGCACGUCCUGGGUGAAAUCCUUCGGCCACGGAGGUCUGCUGGAGUACGGCACUACUUGAGUGCGUGAGGGGUGGACUGGAACGCGUGGUGUAGCGGUGAAAUGCGUAGAUAUCACGCGGAAGGCCAACGGCGAAGGCAAGUCACUGGUACGCAACUGACGCUGAGUGCACG